AUUGUCCUGCCUUGUGCGAUAAGUUUUACAUUUUGCGUCAACCACAUCUCGUAAAAGGGAAUCGUGUUCGGACGUCUAUGUCAGGUCACUACGUUUUCCGCGUGAAUCCAAAAAGCGUUUGCGCUUCGGUGAAAGACAGAUGGCGCUCGGUAGAUUACCCACCCUGUUUAAGCAGGUUGAACCCAUCGUAAAACCCGGCAAGGCGGGAUUUUU
rnacentral:other from 1 species